rnacentral:lncRNA from 1 species
GUUCCUAGAAAAUUUUAAAUUUCAUGUGUGGCUUGCCUUGUAUUUCUAUUGGGUAGUGCCGUUCUAGAGGGUUAUACGCUGGUAAAUAAGUACGUGUAUCAAUGUAAUACCUCGUACUGGUGAAUGCUUUGAAGAAAAACGAAGCAGGGCAAGAAAAUGGAGAGAGACAGGAAGUGGGGGCUCAGGCGGUGUUUCACAUCUUGGCUGUACAUGAAUCAAAGACUCUGUCUCUUCCCAACCCCCAAAAGAAAAGGAAGAAACAAAAAAGAAGAAGAAGAAAAGAAAGAACAAAGAGUAUUUCCUUUAUUUUCUAGAAUUAUUACCAGUUUUUCCUAGUGAUUCUUAAAAAUAGAAGUGUGGCCAGUGGCUUAAUGGUCAGGCCCUGAGACUGACUCAUGCGUAUGAGACAUUAUUCAGGGAGGCAUUAUCCAAGGGGGCCCUGGGAAAGAAUAUUGUUCUAGUCACUAAUAUGUUAUGCUUUUAAAAAUGAGGUUGUGGCCAGAGUUCUCAGAUAUGCUUGAACAAGAAGAAUGAUUUGGGUUCUUAUUUCUGUUUGUUGGCACUUCAAAACUUAGAAGCAGUUGGAAUAACCAAUUCUACACACCAUGUGUGGACAGCUAUUUGUGUUUGAGGACAUAUUUGGAAAAGAAGUGACUCCUUCCUUCCCCUGGACAACACGCUCCCAUCCACCUCAGCUCUAACUCACCCACGAUUCAUGUGUCUGCACAAGUCCGCAGAUAGAAGGUCAGCAAGCCAGUGGAAAUAACAGUAUCGGCAAAGGAAUCCCCCAAGGGCCCAGAAACAAACAAUCAAACAAGAAAGUCAUAUAAAAUUUCAUUAGAAAGGAAAUAGAUCCUUAUGACAAAACAAAACAGAAACUGCUGGAAGAUGCAAAGAGGAGAGUAUUAAUGUACUCAGCUAGAAAGUGGUUAAUCAGGCUCCUUGCUUCCUUAAUUUCCAGCUGUAGAAAUAUGCCAAGGGAAAAAGCAUUUCCCCUGGUCCUGUUAAGUGUAGAAAGAGUGCUAUUUUGACUCCACAGCCAAGGCUGCAGAUGGGGGUGUGGGGGUGGGACGGGAGCGUGGGCGCUCCCUAACAACAACAGAAAGACUAGUGCAGUAUGCCUUCCCAGACUAUAAACAUUCAGAGCCUCCUUGCCAAGCACAUAAUAAAAUUUUCCCCUCUCUCUCCA